UCCAGCAAUGGAAUACGAAUUUAUGGGUGAGAUAAUCCAUCCCACCAAUACGGGUUUCUAAAACGAUGGUACCUUGUAAAGAAGUUUGGCAACUUUGAGAGACGAAAAAUUAUGUCCGAAAAUUGCAGUACACUGCGUAUACUUUCGCGCGUUUGUUAUGGCGAAAUCCUACAUUAUUUGGCCCUGUCAAAGAAGUUUCGGUGGCAGCUCGCUGCAGUGUUCGCCCGUCUGUGAACGCCAAGUCCUCAGUGCUUUUCCCUCUCUCUCCCCUCCUUUUUCUCUCUCUCUCUAGAGCACCUCCACUCUCUAGGGCACCCAGCUCUCUUCCAUCCUCUCUCUAGAGCACCCUGCUACAACAAGUGAGAUCCAUAUCGUGCACAACGCAGUUCAAUCUUUAGAGGCUCAAUCUACAUCUGUUCAUUAGUCUACUGUGUUGGUGUUUUCGACAUCAUUAUCGUUGAAGCAGCAAGCUGCAUUGAUCCCUAGGAAGACUCGUGCAUUUCAUCACUCUCACUAAAUAGCAGCAAUGGAAUCUCCUUCGGAUUCGUGGAUGAGGGAGUUUAAUGAAGCAUCAAAGCUUGCAGAUGAUAUUAGUGUCAGGAUUGCAGAGAGGAGCUCUUUGCCCCCCUCAGGCCCUGAAACCCAGUGUCAUGUCUCAGCUAUUCGAAGGAAGAUUACGAUUCUUGGGACUCGACUUGAUAGCGUGGAUUCCCUGUUGGCCAAGCUCCCAGUAAACAACCCAUGCAUAGCACUUACAACAUGUGGAAGUGAUAUUGGUAUUGUGGAUCUCUUGCUAGACUAUUGAAGUUAUGUUCCGUAUUCUCUAGUGGGGAAAACUCGUCUAUUCAUGGUGACAGAGAAUUGUUUGUUCUUCAAUAUUUACUUAAUCCUCGUUUGAGGGGAGAAAAUAAAUAUUUCUGCUUUCCUUUAGGGGAAUGAAUCUUUCUGGGACAUGCAUAAGUGUGAUGGUUCUUGAAUGAUUGAAUUGGAAAUUGGAUCAUUUCGAACUUUCAUGAUUGAUAAUUCGUUCUUCAGAUAAGCAUAUUUUGAAAGUGUGAGUACCGAUCUCAAAUUUCCAGUGAUAGGAUGGUGUUAGGGGACAUGAUGGGGCCAAGACUUGUGGAGGCAGUCCAACUGCCAUUUAGGAGCUUGAAGGAGGUGGUCAAUGUUGUGUGGGAACUAAGCAAGAGCAGGUUGUGGUUGCUGGGGAUGCGAAUGCACAUAAAAGGAGGAACUCAAAUAUGUCUUCUGUUAAUGUUCUACCUGAGCUUUAUAUCAGUUGUUUGGAUCAGAAAGUGGGUUUAGUGUCAUGGAAUGCAACAACACUUAUAAUCUGCUGAUCCUUAUUGGUGGCUCCAUGCUUUUAUCUACUCAUAAGGGUAAGGUUUUUUGUAAUUUAAUGCAUGGCCCCAAGAUGACUGAUGAGGCCACCCUCAGCCUCAAGAGGUGGAAAAGCCAACUGGUUUAGCUUAGAAAGUAGCAUUCCCUUCCAUUGUUGUGUAAUAGCUACACCUCUAGGUGAUUGGGAAGGUCUGUGAAAGAGUUGAGAUAGUUUACUUGCCAGCAUGGAGAUUGUGGACAUGCAUUAUGACCUUGUAUGCAUUAAGUGGCUGAAAAUUAGUCAUGUUUGGUCAGAUUCCGCCAAAGCAAAUAAGCAAACUUCCAUAAAGGAUCUCAUCCUUAAACCAAGACACAAGGUUGAAUAAGUACCCAACAUGUUGCAAGAUUUUGGAGAACUGCUACAGCUGCACUUUAGGUUGCAUCAACAACUUAUGCGGCAUGCGAAACAUAUGACAGUAUCCCUUUUUAGCUUCUUAGAAGAAGUGGUUAGGGUAAACACUAGGUGUCCAUCACUGUUGGAGAACAUAUAGAGAAGUUCAUGGGAAAUUUGCGAGGUCUUAGAAUGCAUGGUGGUGAAGGCAUUAUUGAAGGCUACUGAAGUAGGUGGCUGAGGAAUUUGGGGAUACAUUUGUAAAUUGGAGACUGACAACAACGUUGAGAGAAAUCUAAGGUAAAGGCACAAGUUUAGAGGUUUUUUUCUUACUAUCGUGAAGCACUCUCAAACAAUACAUAGCCUUACCUGCAAAGCACUUCUUGUGCUUUGCAACAGGAACUCUCAGAAAAGAGCUUUUGCUACUGUUGGCUUGUUCAUAUAGGCUAGGCAGAAAUCAGUCCUUGUGGUGUCUGCUACGAUUGGUUUGCUCAGCGCUGGCUUUGCAACUGCAAACUUUUAAAGUAUUGCCUAGAGAGCAAAUAUCUUAUGAGGGUUUUGCCUUUUAUUGUUUGAGAGUGCUUUGCAAUGCCAGAAAGCACUUGCGAUAGAGUGCACUAUAACUUUUAAGGGAUAUGAUUAUUUUUAAAAAUAUAAAAUAGUGGUCUUUAGGGCGACAUUUGGAAAGAUUCUUUGAACUCAAGAUGGUUUUCGUGUUCCUACCAACGUAGGUAUGGAAUCCUCGUUAUGGAAAUUUAUUGAGCCACCCUUAAGAGAUGCAUUAUAUAACUUUUAUUCAUCUUUUUAUCCUAAAUACAAAAGGCCCUCAGCAGAUGUGCUAUAAGGGGUCAAGAAUGGGUAAAAUUAUUAGUGUAACAGUUCAAAUUUACCCCUCAACACGAAAGUAC